GAACGAGGAAGUAAUGGCGUCUCGCGUCGUUUCGCUUUCCGAUAUUCCUGACAAAUUAUCAUAAAUGUGACAUUACAAUGCGAAAAAAAUAGAAGUCAAAGGAAUUUGUAACUGGCUGCUACAUCGGAAGGCUCGAUAUAUCUUUAGAAAAUGACGAUAUCUAACAUUUACGGGGUGAAAUCUAUCCAAGACAGAGAAAAUCGGAUAGCCGCCAUGUUGUCAACAUUGACAUCGAUACAAAGGUCGAAAGGAAAAGCGUGUGUGUUCACGCAUACUGUAAAUGCAAACAAGGAAAUUGUGGAACAUGUUCACACACUCUGGCUGUAAAAGUAGACCUGGGAGGAAAAGUGCCCCCGGUGUGGGGCUCGAACUCACAACCACCAGAACACUAGCCCGGCGCUCUAACCAACUAAGCUGACCGGGCAGCUAGUUCUAACCCACACACACUACCCUCCCCCCAUUUACCGGUUAAGGCUGGUGGAGGGUCUCCUUCUAUUUACCGUUGACACCAUUAAAGUAUUCUGAUUGAUGGAGAUCAGGAAGUCCCCUUAUUAUUGUCUUCAACAAGCCUACCGCCACAGGGGACCUAGCAUAAGACCGGAAACCGCCCCCCCCCCCACACACACACAUGAUAUUUGCCAGUCCAGGCAAUGUCAACCGCAAGAGAAAACCAGUGAUGACAAGUUUAACAAAUAAUCGGAAAGUGUGGUCUUUUGAAGAGAGUUCUUGAAGUUGUUCAGCAUGUUUUUUUGAUGGAUUCUUGGAAGGAUGUACCUCUAUGAUGUUAGCUUCAGUUCUGGAGUAUAACACCAGUUGUUGCAUAUUUAAUAUCAGAUUUUUUAAAUAAAUAUAGAAGUUUGCUUUGUGAUUUAUAUAUUAGGUCUUAAUUUAAAGAAUGCCAAAAUAAGCCGAUUCUGAGACAAAAAGUGUCAAACUAGAAUUCUGUGAGAGUGCAACUUUAAGAAUACUGUUAAUCGAGUGUGCAUGUGAUCCGGACUCUGAACAUUAGAUGAACUAUCAUUAAAUAUUGUAGAUUUACGUAAAUGGCCCAAAAUAUAAGAAUAACAAUGAAAAUAUGUACAUGUUUGACUUGUUCUUUAGUCAUAAUAAGUCUAAG